UUUCCGUAGGUGAACCUGCGGAAGGAUCAUUAAAAAAUUGGACUCCAUUGGUGAGUUCAUUAAUGAUCCCUACCCUUUGUGAAUUUGUUUGUUUGAAUAAUUUUUUUUCCAAAAAAAAUUAUUGAAUGUCUUUCCUUGUUUUGGUGGAGCUUGUAAAGUGAAACCAGGCAGGGGAAUGGCAAACAAUAAUUAUUUUUGAAAAAGACCUUUUUUUUAAAAUUAAACUUUUUGUAUUCAUUUGUCUAAAAUUAAUUUUUAUAAUAUAAAAACAACUUUUGACAAUGGAUCUCUUGGUUCUCGCAACGAUGAAGAACGCAGCAAAAUGCGAUAAGUAGUGUGAAUUGCAGAAUACGUGAAUCAUCGAAUCUUCGAACGCAUAUUGCACUUUUUUAGUUUACUAAAAAAGUAUGUCUGUUGAGUAUCAGUAAAAUAUUCUCGUAAAAAACAUUGUUUUUUUUAUGGUUAUGAGUGUUUUACAACGAUAACAAGUUGUUUCACUUUAAAUUCUUUGUUAUCAAAAAAAUCAUUAAAAGCUAAUUUUAAAGAUUUUUUAAAAUUGGAUAAAAUUUUCCCGUAAAAAGGAAUAACCUAAACAAUUUUAAAAAAUUAAAAUUGGUUUGAUUUUUUUUGAAACCCAAAGGAAAAAAAAACGAAAUUAACUUGAUCUCAAAUCAGAUAAGAGUACCCGCUGAACUUAAGCAUAUCAAUAAGCGGAGGAAAAGAAACUAACUAGGAUUCCCUCAGUAACGGCGAGUGAGGCGGGAAGAGCUCAAAUUUGAAAUCUUCAAGGUUUUACCUUGACGAAUUGUAGUUUAAAGAAGUGUUUACUGUUGGAGUUUUGGUAAAAGUUCUUUGGAAAAGGACAUCAUAGAGGGUGAGAAUCCCGUAUUUGACCAUUAUCUCCAGCUUUGUGAUACACUUUCAAAGAGUCGGAUUGUUUGGGAAUGCAGUCCAAAAUGGGUGGUAAAUUUCAUCUAAAGCUAAAUACUGGCGAGAGACCGAUAGCGAACAAGUACCGUGAGGGAAAGAUGAAAAGAACUUUGAAAAGAGAGUUAAACAGUACGUGAAAUUGUCAAAGGGAAGCGUUUGACACCAGUGUUGUUUUCUCGAAAAUCAAUUAAAAAAGGCCGGAUUUUGUGUUGUAUUGACUUUAUCAGCUUUCUGCACUCUUUUCUUGUCUUUUUUAAUGCACUUUUCGUUUAACAAGUCAACAUCAAUUUCUUUUGUUGUAAAAGGGUCAUUGGAAGGUGGCUUUCUUUUCGGAGAAAGUGUUUAUAGCCUUUGGCCUCUGCAAUCGGAGAGAUUGAGGUCUGCAGCGUAGAUCCUUCGGGUUAGAUACAUUUGUGCUAAGUUAUAGCCUUUCAUAGACAACUUGUUGACUAUGAUCAGUCAUGUAGCUUACUCGCUUAUGCUAUUU
rnacentral:misc_RNA from 1 species